ACUUCAGAUCAAUCAAAGAUAACGCGUUGAGAGGAGCGGGGGUACCUUGCUUGGACCCAGAAAGAAAUACUAUUUCUCCACCCCCAAUCACACACACACACCCCUUAGUCGCUCCCUCCAAAUGGUUAUCACAACUGAGUACAAACUGAUAGGGUUCUUAGCGGGCCAAGGACUGGAAAUGAACACUGGCGGGGUUAUCAGUGCCGGUCUGUCAGCAGCGCUGACUGGAAAGUCUCUAACUGCUUGUCCCAGGCAGCAGCAGUGAUAUACGUCUUAUUCCUUCGGACUCACAAAAAGGAUUUCUUCUUCUGACAAGUUGGACACCGGAAGGCUUCGGGAAGGGAAUUGCACAGGAGAAACACUCUUGUGGGAGUGGAUUUUCACACGCACACCCCAGCGUGGCUGCCUUUCUGAAAGGCUGAAAGUAGAAAACUCUGGAAUGGAAAGACUUCCGGAUAGAGCAGGAUUCGAAGGCUUUAAAUUUUAACCCGAGUUCGAUCGAAAGUUACUACCACAAGAGACUGGCACGGGCCGGCCUGAUUCCCACCACGGCUCCCAGCGGCUUGCUUUGCGUUGUCCGGCCUCAGGCUACAGGGCUAAUACACCGGUCCCGGGCGGCGGGCGGCGAGAAUCAAGCGACACGCCGGACCCGACCCUGCCCCUGCGGUCACGCGCGUUUGCAGCCUCUGGUGACCCUGGCCGGCAGCCUCCAGCUCAGCGCAGAGGUGGGCUCGCGGCUACCCGAGAGGUCAUUGAGGUGGCAUCUCUGUCCGCGCGCUGUUUACGUGACUUAAUGUACUUCUUACGCGGCGCUUGUUAUCUAGGCCACCCAAUGACCGACGAAAGAUCUUCCCUCCCCACGCCUCCCAUAGCCGUUUUAAACCAAAUAAAUUUAGCUAUUAAGGGCCAAGAUGUCUGACAAAAGAUCCGAAAGGUGUCUCUCUGGGAUCCCUUAAAGAAGCGGAGAAGCUGGCGGCUCUCCACCAUCCCGAUAAAGAAAUUCCACGCCGGCGCCGGCCUCCCUUUGCAGCCUGCUUGUGUCCGACACCCUGAAAUCGCCACCUCAAAGGUCCUUUGCGACCUGUGACUGCAAUUGAGGCAUUGUCUCCGGGUCUCCUGGCCUGGGGAUGCUUGGGCAUUGGAACUAACCCUAACCCUAACCCAGAAGCUGUAGGACCUAAAGCAUUCCUGCCAGGCCUGCAAAAGAACCAAGAUCAAUGAAACAAGCCCAAAGUGCCAUUUAAAUUUGCCCCCCCCCCUUCCUUUGAGAUAAAGCCUUCUAUUAUGUAUGACAAGCUGGCCUGGAGCUCCAGAUCCUCAAGGCUCAGGCCUGUAGAGCAUUGAUUGGAAUUACAAAUGUUUGUAGCCUUGUCCUACUGUUGUUUUUUCUAAUAUUAAGAAAGACAAAAGCAAAUCA